rnacentral:lncRNA from 1 species
GGUUACUUGUGUACCACGUUAUGGGAUUCGAGGAAUCCAAUCAUGUUACGAUUGUGAGCUUCAUGUCGUAUCGAUGCGUAUAAUCACCGACGACGGAUAUGUCAGGCCUCUGAGAUCGGCUCACCUCAGAGUGUCUUAGUUAUGUUAAAAUGAACAAGAUAAUUAAUCUGUGUUACACCUUUAUAUUAUUAUGUUUAUGAAAUCAUGUUAUGAAAUUAUGUUAGAGACUGACAAUCAGGAUCAAGGAACUUUUAGUUCAUCAGUUGCCCCAAGUGUAGACACCAAUAGUAACUGGUUAGUAGGAAUCCACUGAGACGAAGUG